rnacentral:rRNA from 1 species
UACGAAGGGGGCUAGCGUUGCUCGGAAUCACUGGGCGUAAAGCGCACGUAGGCGGCUUUUUAAGUCAGGGGUGAAAUCCUCGGAGCUCAACUCCAGAACUGCCUUUGAUACUGGGAGCUCGAGUCCGGGAGAGGUGAGUGGAACUCCGAGUGUAGAGGUGAAAUUCGUAGAUAUUCGGAAGAACACCAGUGGCGAAGGCGGCUCACUGGCCCGGUACUGACGCUGAGGUGCGAAAGCGUGGGGAGCAAACAGGG